rnacentral:tRNA from 1 species
GCCGACGUGGCGGAAUUGGCAGACGCGCUAGGUUCAGGUCCUAGUUCCCCUUAAAGGAGUGGGGGUUCAAGUCCCCCCGUCGGCACCA